rnacentral:rRNA from 1 species
UACGGGGGGGGUAAGCGUUGUUCGGAAUUACUGGGCGUAAAGGGCUCGUAGGCGGCCAACUAAGUCAUACGUGAAAUCCCUCAGCUUAACUGGGGAACUGCGUGUGAUACUGGAUGGCUUGGAUUUGGGAGAGGGAUGCGGAAUUCCAGGUGUAGCGGUGAAAUGCGUAGAUAUCUGGAGGAACACCGGUGGCGAAGGCGACAUCCUGGACCGGUAUUGACGCUGAGGCGCGAAAGCCAGGGGAGCAAACGGG